GACGUAGGGGGCGAGCGUUGUCCGGAUUUAUUGGGCGUAAAGCGUGCGUAGGCGGCUGCGCAAGUCGGUUGUGAAACCCCGGGGCUCAACCCCGGAACUGCAUCCGAUACUGCGUGGCUAGAGGUAGGUAGGGGAGAUCGGAAUUCCUGGUGUAGCGGUGAAAUGCGCAGAUAUCAGGAGGAACACCGGUGGCGAAGGCGGCUUUCUGGACAGAUACCGACGCUGAGGCACGAAAGCUAGGGGAGCAAACAGG
rnacentral:rRNA from 1 species